rnacentral:rRNA from 1 species
UACGAAGGGGGCUAGCGUUGUUCGGAUUUACUGGGCGUAAAGCGCGUGUAGGCGGCCACGCAGGUCCGUUGUGAAAACUAGAGGCUCAACCUCUAGACGUCGACGGAAACCGUGUGGCUAGAGUCCGGAAGAGGAGAGUGGAAUUCCUGGUGUAGCGGUGAAAUGCGCAGAUAUCAGGAAGAACACCAAUGGCGAAGGCAGCUCUCUGGGACGGUACUGACGCUGAGACGCGAAAGCGUGGGGAGCGAACAGG